rnacentral:misc_RNA from 1 species
AACGCACAUUGCGCCCUAUGGUAUUCCGUAGGGCAUGCCUGUUCGAGCGUCAUUCAAACCUUCAAGCUCUGCUUGGUGUUGGGCGUCUGUCCUGCCUCACGGCGCGGACUCGCCUCAAAUCUAUUGGCGGCCGGCACGUUGGCUUCGAGCGCAGCAGAAACGCGAACUCGAGACCGGCGGAUCGGCUCCCAGAAGCUACCCCCAUGAAUUUGACCUCGGAUCAGGUAGGGAUACCCGCUGAACUUAA